AGAUUCCACAACUGCAACAAGUGUAUUACGAUAUUUUUCCACUCUAGACAGUUAAAUUUUAGUAUUUAAAGCGGGAGUUAAAACUUAACUGUUGAGAGUGGAGAAAUAUUGUAAUACACGAGUUGCAGUGGUGGAAUCU
rnacentral:sRNA from 1 species